GGUUCCAAAAGGACCACACAAAACAAAACAAUAACAACAACACAAAAAAAAAAAAAAGAAAAAAAAAAUCAGAUCACGUGUCUGAGAGUGUUGUCCAAAUGCUUCUUGAUCUCUGGUAAGCUCAGUACCAUGGCCACUUCUUGGGGAACCUGUUCAAGUGCCCGAACACCCUCUUGCUGAAAAACUUUUUCCUGAUAUCCAGCCUGAAUAUCUGAGAGGUUCUGAUACGGGUUUUCCAGAGAGGCUGUAGAGUCUUUCUCUUUGGAGAUCUUCAAAGAUGCUUGGACAUGGUCCUGAGAAGCCUGCUCCAGGUAUCCCUUCUUGAGCAAGGGAUUGGACCAGAUGACCUCUAGUGGUCCCUUCCCACCUCAGCCAUUCUCUUAUUCACAGAAAAUAAAAUUCUGAUUUUAGCAGAGUGAUUAAAAAGAGAGAAAGAGAGAGAGAGAGAGAGAAUGUUGUAAACUACUGAGAUAUGGCAGAAUUGUGAUUAGAAAUAGAGUGGAAAUGUUUACAGCUCAAAAGUUUUAUGUUCCUUAGCUUCACACAAUAGGUAUUCAUGGUCACGGCUUCUGUGCUAUAGGAUACUUGAUAAGCAAGUGUCAGUGCUAAGCAGAAUUUGUGUGUCUCCAGGCCAGGUCGCUGUGAAUCUACAGUAUAUGUCUGGGAAGAUACGCUGUGUUCAGUAAGCUGCCACUAAUGGCAGUCAGGAUCUUCAAAGACAGAAUGUGUGCUCCAGUUAUCUGAAUUGUAUUUAUUGUCCAGUGAUUAUGGUGAAAUUUGUGGCUUCAGUCAAAAUAGUGAAAUACUGAAAUAUUUAAUGACAGAUGUUUUAAGGUGAAUUUU